UCGCGAAAGGCCUUACGAGACCCGUUUGAUUUUCGCCAGGACUACAGCGACAGCUGGGACUCAAAUAGCAACGACACAAGCAGCAACGAGAGCGAUUACAAAAGAAUUGAUCUGAAAGUCGCCAACAACAACAGGCGUUUCUGGUGGCAUCACUCCGGUAGCAGUGAAGAGAGUAACGAGAGUAACAACCGAAGACGUUCAUCCACCACAUCAACCACAACAACCACCACAACCAAAACAACCGCUGCUGUUGGAAAAUAGAUAUCCUUUGACAAAAUAACAUGAGAUUUCCUAUCACUUAAGACAACCAAUUUUCACUUGAGACUUCCUUCUUGUCCCUUAAAUACAUCCUAAAUUUCACUUGAAAAGACGUAAUUUUCACUUAAGAUGACCUUCGUGACUAAUAAAAACGACUCACUUUUUCACUUGAAAACAUGAUAUAUUUCACUUAAAAAUACUUACGUUUCACUUAUGACGCCUUGCACAUUACCUGGACACUUUCUCCUUCAGGAAAGGUUCUGAAGCUCAGUAUUGUAAAGAUUAACAUAUAAUAAUAACAAUAAAAGGUACUGGUGUUAUUACCUAUAAACAAAAAGAACUCAAAAAAAAAAAAAAAAAAAAAAGAUAUAUACGGGGCAAAAAGAGCGAUUAGUGGAGCAUCAUAUCUUUCUGUGUAAAGCUUAAUAAUGCAAAUUUCUUUGCUACUUAGAAAUAAAUUAUUAUACUCUGUUGGCUAAUAAAGUAAUGCAUUAAGAAA